rnacentral:rRNA from 1 species
GACGAACGCUGGCGGCGUGCCUAAUACAUGCAAGUAGGACGCUGAAGGAGGAGCUUGCUUCUCUGGAUGAGUUGCGAACGGGUGAGUAACGCGUAGGUAACCUGCCUGGUAGCGGGGGAUAACUAUUGGAAACGAUAGCUAAUACCGCAUAAUAGUAGAUGUUGCAUGACAUUUGCUUAAAAGGUGCAAUUGCAUCACUACCAGAUGGACCUGCGUUGUAUUAGCUAGUUGGUGGGGUAACGGCUCACCAAGGCGACGAUACAUAGCCGACCUGAGAGGGUGAUCGGCCACACUGGGACUGAGACACGGCCCAGACUCCUACGGGAGGCAGCAGUAGGGAAUCUUCGGCAAUGGACGGAAGUCUGACCGAGCAACGCCGCGUGAGUGAAGAAGGUUUUCGGAUCGUAAAGCUCUGUUGUAAGAGAAGAGCGAGUGUGAGAGUGGAAAGUUCACACUGUGACGGUAUCUUACCAGAAAGGGACGGCUAACUACGUG